rnacentral:ncRNA from 1 species
CAAAAGCUUGGUCCUGGCUUUAUUAUCAGCUUUAGCCAAAUUUACACAUGCAAGUCUCAGCCCCCCUGUGAGAAUGCCCUACAGCUCCCUUUUUGGGAACAAGGAGCCGGUAUCAGGCGCAUUAAUAUAGCCCACGACACCUUGCUAUGCCACACCCUCAAGGGAACUCAGCAGUGAUAAAUAUUAAGCCAUAAGUGAAAACUUGACUUAGUUAAGGCUAAAAGAGCCGGUUAAACUCGUGCCAGCCACCGCGGUUAUACGAGAGGCCCAAGUUGAUGAAUCCCGGCGUAAAGAGUGGUUAAGACAAAUUUUACACUUAAAGUCGAACGCCUUCAGAGCAGUUAUACGUUUCCGAAGGUAAGAAGCCCAAUAACGAAAGUAACUUUAUUUAACCUGACCCCACGAAAGCUAAGAAACAAACUGGGAUUAGAUACCCCACUAUGCUUAGCCCUAAAAAUUGGUAGCCCACUACACCCGCUACCCGCCCGGGUACUACGAGCAUUAGCUUAAAACCCAAAGGACUUGGCGGUGCUUUAGACCCCCCUAGAGGAGCCUGUCGUAGAACCGAUAAUCCCCGUUAAACCUCACCCCUCCUUGUUUAACCCGCCUAUAUACCGCCGUCGUCAGCUUACCCUGUGAAGGAUUUAUAGUAAGCUAAAUUAGCAUAGCCCAGUACGUCAGGUCGAGGUGUAGCGCAUGGAGGGGGAACAGAUGGGCUACAUUCCCUACUUUAGAGAACACGAAUUACUUACUGCAACGUUAGUAUGAAGGAGGAUUUAGUAGUAAGCCGGAAAUAGAGUGUCCUGCUGAAGCUGGCCCUAAAGCGUGCACACACCGCCCGUCACUCUCCCCAAGUUUCUUAAGAUAUUUGUCCGUAACGCCUCACAAACACUAAGGGGAGGCAAGUCGUAACAUGGUAAGCGUACCGGAAGGUGUGCUUGGCUAGAC